rnacentral:rRNA from 1 species
UACGUAGGGUCCAAGCGUUAUCCGGAAUUACUGGGCGUAAAGCGUGUGUAGGCGGCGCGUUAAGUGCAACGCGAAAUCCUGUGGCUCAACCAUAUGGACUGUGUUGCAUACUGGCGUGCUUGAGGAUGGCAGAGGCAAGUGGAAUUUGUAGUGUAGCAGUGAAAUGCGUAGAUAUUACAAGGAACACCAAUGGCGAAGGCAGCUUGCUGGGCCAUAUCUGACGCUGAGACACGAAAGCGUGGGGAGCGAACAGG